rnacentral:lncRNA from 1 species
GCGAGUCAGUUGGAAAGUGUAUUUCUUCGCCGUGCCAUAUCCAUGUUGUAUAGCAUCUUAGGAAACCAUCACAGAUAAGAUGUUCUCUAAUUUGAGUUGCGUUCAACUUUCUCCCAUUCAAACAGUUCACACAAGGACAUCUAAACUUCACUUCAUCGUCUCUUCUCCCCUCAUUACGUUGCGCAAAUUGUAUAAAUUCCUCUACACCUCUCUCGUACUCAGCACUAAUACGUGGUAAAUUAAUCCAAUUUCGAUCCAUUCCUAAAUUUUACAAAAUUACAAUUAUACAAUUUUCUAUAUAA